CCCCCGUCCUCUCGUCUCACCCCCGCACCAGCCGCCACACAACCCUAGGUCUCCUUGCGCUUCGUUCCCCGCUCGCUCGUCCCUCGGUUCUCCUCAUCCCUCCUCUGCUCCGGCUGCUACGCCGCCUCUCCCUCCACAACGCGACCAGCUCGAGCUCCACCUCAUCCAUCUCCAUCUCAAGGAGACGACUGCACAAGACGUCCGGCGCCGUCACCAUCGUCCUCGGCACAAGUGAAGCACGGGAUGCUCGCUGCGUCGCCGGCGUCCUUUCUCUCGCUGCCACCACCACCCCGACCGAGCCAUCCCCGUGCUCUCACUGAGCCUUCCCCUCCGGGCUCACUGACCCAGGUGGCGGAGAAGGAGAGGGUGAGCUCGAGGGGCAGGCAAGGGAGGAGGGCGUGAGCCCUCGUUGAUGUGGUCUCCGUCAGAGGCGACGAGGGAUGGAUCCGGAGGCCGGGAAGCUGGAGGUGGAGGCCGCGGCGGGGCGACCACUGGUCCACGGACCGGGAGGAUGACGGGGAGGGGAGGGCGAGUCGCCCCCCACCACCACUACGCGCAGGUUUGCGUUGGGGAUUGAUUCCUACUAGUGAAAUAUGCAAGGGAGCCGACCUACAGUUUCAUGUAUAGCUUGAGCUCGCGGCAGAGACAUGGAAGGUCGGAAAAUGAAGAUAUGGGAUGAAGCCAAGCAAUGGAAGAUAAUGGUAACCAAGGCCAUCUUUGUUGGUCAUGGAUUUAGAAGAAAGCCAACAGAGUAUGAAAAGGUUCUCAUGGGACUCACCUUGAACUGAAAUCUUUGUUCAACCUUGGUAUAAUUCUGUGAUAGAAACCCCAGGUGGUCCAAUAUUUUGUUUGUUACUUUAGUGCGUGUUAUUUUUGGUUUGUUAUAACCGAAUUUACAGCCUACUAUAUGUGCAUUUCUUUUAUUCUGUUUUGGUGGGUUCUAAACUAUGAAAUUAGGAAACAUAUAGUUUAUUAGUAUCACAUUUGUAAAAUCAUGCAUAUGCAGGAGCUCAGCAGUCUACCGACCUAAAUUUCUCCCCAACUUAUGUCUUUUUGUUCAGUCAAGAAUUUUAGGUUUCCUUGGUCACCACGGCCUCCUCUCUACUUGGCUCUCCUCUAUCUUGCUUCUCUAUAAAAAAAAUGGAAACUACCAUGAGAGAUAAAUGCCAACUGAAAGUUAAAUUCUGUUAGAAAGUUAAAUUCAGU